rnacentral:rRNA from 1 species
UUAAAUUGAAGAGUUUGAUCAUGGCUCAGAUUGAACGCUGGCGGCAGGCCUAACACAUGCAAGUCGAGCGGUAGCACAGAGAGCUUGCUCUCGGGUGACGAGCGGCGGACGGGUGAGUAAUGUCUGGGAAACUGCCUGAUGGAGGGGGAUAACUACUGGAAACGGUAGCUAAUACCGCAUAAUGUCGCAAGACCAAAGUGGGGGACCUUCGGGCCUCAUGCCAUCAGAUGUGCCCAGAUGGGAUUAGCUAGUAGGUGGGGUAACGGCUCACCUAGGCGACGAUCCCUAGCUGGUCUGAGAGGAUGACCAGCCACACUGGAACUGAGACACGGUCCAGACUCCUACGGGAGGCAGCAGUGGGGAAUAUUGCACAAUGGGCGCAAGCCUGAUGCAGCCAUGCCGCGUGUGUGAAGAAGGCCUUCGGGUUGUAAAGCACUUUCAGCGGGGAGGAAGGCGGUGAGGUUAAUAACCUCAUCGAUUGACGUUACCCGCAGAAGAAGCACCGGCUAACUCCGUGCCAGCAGCCGCGGUAAUACGGAGGGUGCAAGCGUUAAUCGGAAUUACUGGGCGUAAAGCGCACGCAGGCGGUCUGUCAAGUCGGAUGUGAAAUCCCCGGGCUCAACCUGGGAACUGCAUUCGAAACUGGCAGGCUAGAGUCUUGUAGAGGGGGGUAGAAUUCCAGGUGUAGCGGUGAAAUGCGUAGAGAUCUGGAGGAAUACCGGUGGCGAAGGCGGCCCCCUGGACAAAGACUGACGCUCAGGUGCGAAAGCGUGGGGAGCAAACAGGAUUAGAUACCCUGGUAGUCCACGCCGUAAACGAUGUCGAUUUGGAGGUUGUGCCCUUGAGGCGUGGCUUCCGGAGCUAACGCGUUAAAUCGACCGCCUGGGGAGUACGGCCGCAAGGUUAAAACUCAAAUGAAUUGACGGGGGCCCGCACAAGCGGUGGAGCAUGUGGUUUAAUUCGAUGCAACGCGAAGAACCUUACCUGGUCUUGACAUCCACAGAACUUUCCAGAGAUGGAUUGGUGCCUUCGGGAACUGUGAGACAGGUGCUGCAUGGCUGUCGUCAGCUCGUGUUGUGAAAUGUUGGGUUAAGUCCCGCAACGAGCGCAACCCUUAUCCUUUGUUGCCAGCGGUUAGGCCGGGAACUCAAAGGAGACUGCCAGUGAUAAACUGGAGGAAGGUGGGGAUGACGUCAAGUCAUCAUGGCCCUUACGACCAGGGCUACACACGUGCUACAAUGGCAUAUACAAAGAGAAGCGACCUCGCGAGAGCAAGCGGACCUCAUAAAGUAUGUCGUAGUCCGGAUUGGAGUCUGCAACUCGACUCCAUGAAGUCGGAAUCGCUAGUAAUCGUAGAUCAGAAUGCUACGGUGAAUACGUUCCCGGGCCUUGUACACACCGCCCGUCACACCAUGGGAGUGGGUUGCAAAAGAAGUAGGUAGCUUAACCUUCGGGAGGGCGCUUACCACUUUGUGAUUCAUGACUGGGGUGAAGUCGUAACAAGGUAACCG